rnacentral:lncRNA from 10 species
CCGGGUCCGCGCCCCGUUUCUCUCGGCGCCGCCCCUCGAGCCUCGGCCCCCGCCCGGCUGUGCGCUCCUCUGAGCUCCCCUCUCUCCCCAGCCAGGAUUUUCUCCCCCUCGCCUCCCUUCCCCUCGCCUCCCCUCCCCUCCCUUCCCCUCCCCUCCCCGCGCCCGCGCGCGCUCUCUCUCUCUCCCAGAGUUCAUUCACAUUAUUGGAGUGAAGGAAGCCGAGGGAAGUGUUCCCCAGGAGGACCGAAGGGAAAGCGCGUCUCCAGCCACCUCUCUUACCCGCCCAGGACAUCCAGCCUCCCCUCCGACGGCCCUGCGGAUUCUUUAAUUUGUGGAGGAGGGCGUGGGUGGGUGUGUCCCUCCUUUCCCCUCUGUGCCUGUUCACCUGGUGAUGAAGGGGGACCCCAACGGGAGCUCCGCAGUUUGCCUUUCUGUUUGCGGACACCCACUGGCAGCUGCACUUGGUCCUGCGGUGAUGAGGGUGUAGACUGUGGAGUCGCAUAAGGACUUGACCGCCGGCACAGGGAGCUGGAGCAAACCCAAGACUGGCUGAGACCAUUCAUCAUGCCUGGGUGAGCACAAUUUAAAUCUGGAAAUUUCUGCUCAGCCAGAUUACAGAACUCUAAAUGACAGUAUUUAACUGCUGCCUGAGGACCCUGGAGUUUCUCCCAUGUGACGCUUCCAGAAUCAAGGGAGGGAUGUGCUCUCCUCUUGCCUAGGAGGAGGUCCUGGACUGGUCUUGUUCUGGAGAGACUGGACACUUGGCAUCCUCUCCCACCAUGAACUGCCCCCCACCGCCCAUAUAAAUGUUACUGCUGGGGGUGUGAACAAGUAAACGUGUAUUAUUACCUCCCUUGCCAGCUGAGGAGGUGGCGAUAUUUGCCAGUCACUUGGACCAGUCUCCCAAACUAUCUUUUUCCACCCGUGGUGGUGUCUUUCCUCCUUACUGAAUCAUUUAGGUAAUUACCUCAAUUCUUCACUUUACUUUGGCUGUGAAGACAGAGUCUUAAUGAGCCCAGAGCCCUGGACAAUCCCAGCUCCAGGGUGAGGCAGCCGGGUGGCGGCUGUGGGAGGGGAAGACGGUAUUAGGAUGCUCACAUUGCAUAACCUGCACGUCCAAGUGGCCAAGCUGGCUGCCAUCUGCAGCCCGGGCGAGAAGACGGGAGAGGCCCUCCACCAGCCAGGGGAACGCAGUCGCUUUCUGCAGUAGCUCCCAAAGCCUUUAGGAAAAGCUUUGUUUUACCCCUUUGUCCUCCAGAAAUAAUGACCUUUGUGUGUCAACUUUUGUAGUAUCUCAUUUCUGAACCCAAAGCAGAUGGUUCUGGUGAUUUCAGAAGGCUUAGUGAGGGGAUUUGAGGAGCCUGGGUGAGAUCUCAGGUGAACUGACACAAAGCAUGAUUUCUAGUUUCUAUAGCCAAGGCUUGGGGAUGAGGCUCAGAAGAUUCCGGGGCUCGGCUCGGUGUGGAGGCUUAUCUGCAACCCAUCCAGCCUGCUCAGCCUUUAAGAAGAAUGCCUGGAAAUCCGGGUCCUACCAGCCUCCCCUCCAUCAGAUUAUGCACGCUGCAAGGAUGACUUUCUUUUUUUUUUUUUUUUUUUUGCUUCAGUAUUUCAGUAGACUCCUUUGAGGGAGAUCAGAAAAUGCUACAUGGCUUUAUGUAUUCAAGUUUAUUCCGUUUCAUUUGCUUAUCACGGAUAUCCUAUUCAAGGUGAUGGAAGCUGGAUACACAGCAUUUUUUUUUCCAGCUCAGCUGCGAUAAAACAGUGGCACACUCACCAUCUCCAUGCCAGGCCAGGACCUAGAAAUGCAGAGAGAAGGGAGAUAGCAUUUCGUGAGUGUCCUCUGGGUGCCAGUCAUUGAGUCUCUCCUUUCAGUUAUCCAUCACAACAACCACAUAAAGAGGACACUUUUAUCCCCAUUGUGUAAGUGGUGAACUCGCAGCUAAACAGAGAGCAAGUGGCUGAACCAGGAUUUGAACCCAGCUCUGCCUGGAGCACAGCUGGGCUCCAUCUGCUACUACACUGCACCCCACUCCCUAAAGGGCACAGAGGCCUCUUUGCCCGUCUCUUCCUCCCCUGCUCCUCCUCACAUAUUUAUCCAGAUGAAAUCAAGUUCAAAUGAUGAUCAAAGUCACAUGAGGGGCCAGGUGUGGUGACUCACGCCUGUAAUCCCAGCACUUUGGAAAGCCGAGGUAGGUGGCUUACUUGAGGUCAGGAGUUCAAGACCAGCUUGGCCAACAUGGUGAAACCCCCUAUCUACUACAAAUACAAAAAAGUUAACCAGGUAUGGUUAGGUGAGGGGGAGGGAGGCGCCUGUAAUCCCAGCUACUCAGGAGGCUGAGGCAGGAGAAUCACUUGAACCCAGGAGGUGGAGGUUGCAGUGAGCCGAGAUCACACCACUGCACUCCAGCCUGGGCAACAGAGCGGGACUCCAUCUAAAAAUAAUAAUAAUAAUAAUAAAAUUCACAUGAGGGUGGAGAGGUUAGGAAACAGCUGUGCUUUUUAAGCUGUUGGCAGUGGGUCUGGAGUUUGGGGUUUGGAGAAGGCUCCCCAUUUCCUGGGCAGAUAGGAGUGAGCUGGGCUGAUGGCAGGCAGGUUCUAGAAGCUACCAGCCUUGGGAGCCCACCCUUCUCUUCCUCCCUCCUGGCUAUUACCCCCAGCACCUGCCCUAAUGCUGGCCAGAGUGGAGGGCGGAGGGCCAGCCCCUGACCCAGGUACCCAGUGGCCCCUCUGAGAUGCCUCUGGCCUCUGGCUGCUACCCUCUCCUGGGCAUUUUCCAUUUACUGUGAUGGCAGAAAAACCCAGUACCCUUAAACAGUAAACAACACAGUGAACUGUGAGUGAAGUCCGUGUGGGCUUAGCCAGACCUGUGUGUUUGCAAACCGGAUCCCAGUAUGGACUGUGCCCUGCAGGCGGCCUCUCUUGCUAGAAUCUGUUCUGGAACUAGCCCGGUUGAUGAGCAUGUUGAUAUUAACGGCCUGGCUUGGCCAAAGCUUCCGGCCCAGCACGCUUUAGCAUCAGCUGGUUAUUCUGAGAACAUUCUUUUCAAAACACUCUACAGGACAAACAGGCCGAGAGGUUCCUUUGUCCACAGCUGGCCUCUGAAACUGAGCAGACUCUCAAAGGGUUGAGAAGAACCCCGAGGAGGCUAUCGUCUGCACUCAGAGGCUGAAACGUUUGAAAACAGGUGCGGGAGGGGGCGGGGAGGAUGGUCAGUGACAGCACAUUCUUCAGCAAACAUGUGUCAUUUGUGCUUUUACCAGAGCGGAGCUUUUAAUUCCUAAAAUAUAACAGCCUGGUGCAGGGGCUGGAAGAAGAGGGCGCGUUUUAUGUGCAACUCUGCUAAGGGCUUGGUUGCUGAAUGAAAGGUUUGGUUCCAUGGAGGUUCAGGUACCUUCGCCUUCAGAACCACACCUUCCUUUUCAUCUCCAGCCUCCCUGGGCUCUCACCUGGCUGCUAGGGGGUCGGGGGUGGGUUGGUCUCAGCCCUCCUGGAGCUCUGCUUGCUACUGGGUGGGAAGGCUUGCUCUAUACUGCAGACAUCUUUCUGGAUUGAGGCUAUCAAUUGACUCCCUGCCCUCUGCCUCCUAUGUCCGUGAUUCCUGCUUGUCACAGAAGAGCUGCUGGGUCUUCGUUGCUUUUAUCUCCAAAGCCUUUUGAUGAGGUAGAAAGGAAAGGUCAUCAGAUUCAGGCUGACCUGCGUUUCCACUUCUGCGUUGUCAUUUGCAGCUGUGUGGCCUAGGACUAGUGGCUGAACCUCUCUGGGCCCCAGUAAGACGGGAAACCAAACACUGGCCUCAUUGCGUUGGUUAUCAUGCAGAGUCAGUAAGCCCAGGGAAAACAUUCACACAAAAAUGCUAAUAGCUGAUGGUUACUGAGCUCUUUGUGUGUAUCAUGCUCUAUUCGACGUGCUUGGCCAUACAUUAACUUAUUUGAUUUUUUCCAAAAUACUUUGAGAUAGAUACUGUUAUCGACCUCAUUUUACCAAAAGGUAACGAAGGCAUGGAGAAGGUAAAUUGCUUGCCAAGCGUUGCCUGAUUUUAAACCUCUGCGAUCUGUAUACAGAACCUGUGCUUAUAAUUUUGAUUUAAAUACUUACUAAAUAAACAAUAACUUUUAUUAUGUUGCUCGUUAAUACUCCCUGACAACUAAGUUGAAGCUACUGCUUAUCCUCAACUGCCAACAACCACUGAUGUCACUGGACUCCAGCACCCUUCGUAAUACAGACCCAUUAAUUUAUCUAAUCCAGAAAUACUGUUGUUGUUUUUUUUCCCCUUUUAGCAGAGCCCUCCCUAUUGGUUCAUAUUGUCUCCUUGGAACCUAUGUGGGUCUUCUUGGGGAUGAAGACAUUAUUGAAAUUUUUGCUGGUUGGGCACGGUGGCUCACGCCUGUAAUCCCAACACUUUGGGAGGCCGAGGCGGGUGGAUCACCUGAGGUCAGGAGUUCGAGACCAGCCUCGAAUUAUUAUAAAAU